GAGUUUGAUCCUGGCUCAGGAUGAACGCUGGCGGCGUGCUUAACACAUGCAAGUCGAGCGAAGCACUUAGGAAAGAUUCUUCGGAUGAUUUCCUAUUUGACUGAGCGGCGGACGGGUGAGUAACGCGUGGGUAACCUGCCUCAUACAGGGGGAUAACAGUUAGAAACGACUGCUAAUACCGCAUAAGCCCACGGUACCGCAUGGCACUGAGGGAAAAGGAUUUAUUCGCUUUAGGAUGGACUCGCGUCCAAUUAGCUAGUUGGUGAGGUAACGGCCCACCAAGGCGACGAUUGGUAGCCGGACUGAGAGGUUGAACGGCCACAUUGGGACUGAGACACGGCCCAGACUCCUACGGGAGGCAGCAGUGGGGGAUAUUGCACAAUGGGGGAAACCCUGAUGCAGCGACGCCGCGUGGAGGAAGAAGGUUUUCGGAUUGUAAACCUCUGUCUUCAGGGACGAUAAUGACGGUACCUGAGGAGGAAGCUCCGGCUAACUACGUGCCAGCCGCCGCGGUAAUUC
rnacentral:rRNA from 1 species